AGAGAGAGAUUUAGAGAUGAGAGGGUGCAGGAUGUAUUCUUUAUUUUUGCGUUCUUUUUUAUUUUUUAUUUUUUAAUUUUUUUUUAUUAUUGUUGAUUUUUAUGAUGAUAUACGAUGCAUGCGCGUUUUUUUAUUUUUAAAAAAAAAAGUA
rnacentral:ribozyme from 16 species